rnacentral:rRNA from 2 species
CUAAUACAUGCAAGUCGAGCGGACUUGCUGGAGCUUGCUCCAGCAGGUUAGCGGCGGACGGGUGAGUAACACGUGGGCAACCUGCCUGUAAGACUGGGAUAACUCCGGGAAACCGGAGCUAAUACCGGAUAGUAUCUUGAACCGCAUGGUUCAAGUUGGAAAGACGGUUUCGGCUGUCACUUACAGAUGGGCCCGCGGCGCAUUAGCUAGUUGGUGAGGUAAUGGCUCACCAAGGCAACGAUGCGUAGCCGACCUGAGAGGGUGAUCGGCCACACUGGGACUGAGACACGGCCCAGACUCCUACGGGAGGCAGCAGUAGGGAAUCUUCCGCAAUGGACGAAAGUCUGACGGAGCAACGCCGCGUGAGUGAUGAAGGUUUUCGGAUCGUAAAACUCUGUUGUUAGGGAAGAACAAGUGCGAGAGUAACUGCUCGCACCUUGACGGUACCUAACCAGAAAGCCACGGCUAACU